GUCCAGCCUGCCCAGUGAAUUAAUUUAACGGCCGCGGUAUCCUAACCGUGCGAAGGUAGCGUAAUCACUUGUUCUUUAAAUGAGGACUAGUAUGAAUGGCACCACGAAGGUUAUACUGUCUCCCUUUUUUGAUCAGUUAAACUAAUCUUCACGUGAAGAAGCGUGAAUAAAUAUAUAAGACGAGAAGACCCUAUGGAGCUUGAAAUUACGCAACAAUUGCUAUUAAUUUUAAAUUUUAUGAAUUAUUUUUUUACUAAACACUAUGAUUGCUAAUUUUUGGUUGGGGUGACCGCGGAGUAAAAAUUAACCUCCACAAUGAAAGAAUCAAUAUUCUAAGCUAAGAGCUACAACUCAAAGUAUUAAUAUUUUAACAUUCCUUGAUCCAAUUUUUUGAUCAACGAACAAAGUUACCCUAGGGAUAACAGCGCAAUCUACUUUGAGAGCUCCUAUCGACAAGUAGGUUUACGACCUCGAUGUUGGAUCAGGGUAUCCCAGUGGUGCAGCCGCUACUAAUGGUUCGUUUGUUCAACGAUUAAAACCCU
rnacentral:rRNA from 1 species